CCUACGGGAGGCAGCAGUGGGGAAUAUUGCACAAUGGGGGAAACCCUGAUGCAGCGCCGCCGCGUGAGUGAAGAAGUAAUUCGUUAUGUAAAGCUCUAUCAGCAGGGAAGAAAAUGACGGUACCUGAGUAAGAAGCCCCGGCUAACUACGUGCCAGCAGCCGCGGUAAGACGUAGGGGGCAAGCGUUAUCCGGAUUUACUGGGUGUAAAGGGAGCGUAGACGGCAGUGCAAGUCUGGAGUGAAAGGCGGGGGCUCAACCCCCGGACUGCUCUGGAAACUGUACGGCUGGAGUGCAGGAGAGGUAAGUGGAAUUCCUAGUGUAGCGGUGAAAUGCGUAGAUAUUAGGAGGAACACCAGUGGCGAAGGCGGCUUACUGGACUGUAACUGACGUUGAGGCUCGAAAGCGUGGGGAGCAAACAGGAUUAGAUACCCUUGUAGUC
rnacentral:rRNA from 1 species